rnacentral:pre_miRNA from 1 species
CCUUCGCUUGCAGAGAGAAAUCACAGUGUGGUCAAAAGCUUUUUAAGUCUUUUUUAAAGUCUCUUUCCUCUGUGAUUCUCUGUGCAAGCUAAAG